rnacentral:rRNA from 1 species
AUUGAACGCUGGCGGCAUGCCUUACACAUGCAAGUCGAACGGCAGCACGGGUGCUUGCCCCUGGUGGCGAGUGGCGAACGGGUGAGUAAUACAUCGGAACAUGUCCUGUAGUGGGGGAUAGCCCGGCGAAAGCCGGAUUAAUACCGCAUACGAUCUACGGAUGAAAGCGGGGGACCUUCGGGCCUCGCGCUAUAGGGUUGGCCGAUGGCUGAUUAGCUAGUUGGUGGGGUAAAGGCCUACCAAGGCGACGAUCAGUCGCUGGUCUGAGAGGACGACCAGCCACACUGGGACUGAGACACGGCCCAGACUCCUACGGGAGGCAGCAGUGGGGAAUUUUGGACAAUGGGCGAAAGCCUGAUCCAGCAAUGCCGCGUGUGUGAAGAAGGCCUUCGGGUUGUAAAGCACUUUUGUCCGGAAAGAAAUCCUUGGCCCUAAUACGGUCGGGGGAUGACGGUACCGGAAGAAUAAGCACCGGCUAACUACGUG